GCUUCAAUUUUUUUUUUUUUAAUUGCUUUCACUUUACAGGUUGUGAAUGGAUUCACAUUUUCUUUGUCAUAAAUUGUAUAUAAUUUGUUGAUACUCUUCAUAGCUACUACUGUAUAGUUAUAUUACUGUAGAAAAUAAUGGUUUCCUAUGCUUCAUAUGCAUUCAGAAAAAGGUUUUAGUUGUGCAAAUGAAAUUGUUGUGUGCAUUCUUCCUUGUCAUCUUAUUUAGUUAUUAUCAGCUAGAGGAAGCCAAGAAAGAUAUCAUGCAUUACACUGCACUCUGUUUCCCUUUCCUUUGAACACCCUUUCCCUCUCUCGUUCUCUUUGGGAUGGGUGUGUUAAAUUCAUGCAUGCAAUUGUUCUAUUGAGCUGCCUAUAUAAGAUUUUAAUUCCUCAAUGCUUCUUUCUCUUACAAAUGGCAAUUUUAGUAGUCUAUCGCAGGGGAUAGAGUACCCCUCUUUAAAUUCUGCUGUGCAAUUCUGUUGCUCAUCCUCUUCUUUGCCUGUGUUGAACAUGUUUGAAACUUAUGAUUCAUUCAACUGUAAUAGGCCUCAGCUGAUCAAAGAUCAAG
rnacentral:misc_RNA from 1 species